AUUGAACGCUGGCGGCAUGCUUUACACAUGCAAGUCGAACGGUAACAGGUUAAGCUGACGAGUGGCGAACGGGUGAGUAAUGCAUCGGAACGUGCCCGGUCGUGGGGGAUAACACUUCGAAAGAAGUGCUAAUACCGCAUACGAUCUGAGGAUGAAAGCGGGGGACCGUAAGGCCUCGCGCGAUCGGAGCGGCCGAUGUCAGAUUAGGUAGUUGGUGGGGUAAAGGCUCACCAAGCCGACGAUCUGUAGCUGGUCUGAGAGGACGACCAGCCACACUGGGACUGAGACACGGCCCAGACUCCGACGGGAGGCAGCAGUGGGGAAUUUUGGACAAUGGGCGCAAGCCUGAUCCAGCAAUGCCGCGUGCAGGAAGAAGGCCUUCGGGUUGUAAACUGCUUUUGUACGGAGCGAAAAGGCUCUCUCUAAUACAGGGGGCUCAUGACGGUACCGUAAGAAUAAGCACCGGCUAACUACGUGCCAGCAGCCGCCGUAAUAC
rnacentral:rRNA from 1 species